rnacentral:rRNA from 1 species
AACGAACGCUGGCGGCAGGCCUAACACAUGCAAGUCGAACGCCGUAGCAAUACGGAGUGGCAGACGGGUGAGUAACGCGUGGGAACAUACCCCUCGGUUCGGAAUAACUCAGGGAAACUUGAGCUAAUACCGGAUACGUCCGAGGUUUUGAUCGACCUUGGAGAAAGAUUUAUCGCCGAAGGAUUGGCCUGCGUCUGAUUAGCUUGUUGGUGAGGUAAUGGCUCACCAAGGCGACGAUCAGUAGCUGGUCUGAGAGGAUGAUCAGCCACAUUGGGACUGAGACACGGCCCAAACUCCUACGGGAGGCAGCAGUGGGGAAUAUUGGACAAUGGGCGAAAGCCUGAUCCAGCCAUGCCGCGUGAGUGAUGAAGGCCUGG